GGGCCUGGGUUGGUUUUGACAGCAAGGCAAAUGAUUAAGUAAGCAUGCAGGCUCAGGUAACACAAGCCUCAACCAGGGUUACAAAACAAUAAUUGGCGAAAAUAACUACGCUCUUGCAGCAUAGUCGAAGUACAGUAGACUAAUUUGCGUAUCGGUGCAAAGUGCAUCGAGCAAGACAUCUCUCCACGACCUUUUUUCCGUGGUCAAGGACUCAGAGGUGCUAGCAAAACGGAGAUAGCCUUAAAGGAGCUUUGACUUUAAGGCGAAGAUUUAAAAGAUAAGGUUAAGGCAGGGUGUUUGUCCCUUAGCCUUUUCACGAAAAUAAAGGACAAAAUAAGCAUGUAGAAAGCUUAGUUGUUUCUUGUUUGGACCAGAGUUCGAAUCUCUGCAGGUCCACUC
rnacentral:tmRNA from 1 species